AUUGAACGCUGGCGGCAGGCCUAACACAUGCAAGUCGAACGAGUGGCGGACGGGUGAGUAAUGUCUGGGAAACUGCCUGAUGGAGGGGGAUAACUACUGGAAACGGUAGCUAAUACCGCAUACCAUCAGAUGUGCCCAGAUGGGCUUAGCUAGUUGGUGGGGUAACGGCUCACCCAGGCGGCGAUCCCUAGCUGGUCUGAGAGAGUGACACGCAACACUGGGACUGAGACACGGUCCAGACUCCUACGGGGGGGAGCAGUGGGGAAUAUGGCAAAAUGGGCGAAAGCCUGAUGCAGCCAUGCCGCGUGUAUGAAGAAGGCCUUCGGGUUGUAAAGUACUUUCAGCGGGGAGGCGUUACCCGCAGAAGAAGCACCGGCUAACUCCGUGCCAGCAGCCGCGGUAAUAC
rnacentral:rRNA from 1 species